CGUGUGUGAGCAAGUAAAAUAUCGGGUGAAAAUAAAGAUGUUUUUCUUUGGGGAAUCAAACAUUUUCCUUUCAGGGAGAGGGGGUUUGGUUCAAGCUUUAAUUCGCAGAGGGGAAAAAAAACACAAAAAUGGCAGCAGAUUCAAUUUCUCGAAAAUCUUUAUUAAUUCGUAAUUUCGACAAAUCAAUCAAAAAGAAACAUAAAUUGUAUUUAUCAUUCCUUUUCACUUUCAUUUUCACCUCCAAUUUUCAACUUCAACAUAACCUUUGAAUUUCUCGUUUCUACAAGCUUGAAUCUCUACUCUUUGAAGGUUGAGAAGAGAGGCAUUGUUGUUUCCCAAUUUACAGUGCUGCUGCUUCUGCUUGUUCUGUAUCCAAGCUUCCUCCUACUGAAGUUUGCACAUUUAUGACGUUCCCCAGCCUUCGAUCAUUCACGUCCAGUGAGUUACUAUGGCGUGGUAUAAAGAUCCUCAGUUGUAUAUAUGUCGUGAAACGCCGGGGUUAAAACUAUACAGGAUGAAGGAACCAAUUGGUACUCCCAUUGCGCUAUCAGUUUGAUGGAGUGACUUUCAAGCUUAUAAAUUGUCAAGGCUGGGUGGUGUACCAGCUGGUCAGUAAUUACCAGAACUUCACCUGAGCACGUGAACCACUAAGCUCGCCAUUUUAUAGGCUGCCUGGUAUUCAUACUCCUGAAGCAGUACUAUUGGCUGAGAAAGAAGCUCUUAACAGAAAAGUUUCCAAGUUGACGGAACAAGUUUCCAGUUUGGCAGAACAAGUUUCUGAUCUGACUUCAAAACUUAAAGAGUGUCGUGGUGUUGGUAGUGGAUCAUCUGAGGAAGAACCAUGGAGGAGUGGUAAUAGUAGUAUUCCUAAUAAUUGGGUUCCUUUUGAGGAUCUUGAUAUUCAAAAUAUUCUGAGGACCACUUCUUUGAAAAUUAUCAAAGCACCAAUGCACUGAAAUUCGAGGACGAUUAUACAACAAAUGUUCAAGCGAGCCGUUUCUAUGGAGGAAUAUCUCUAGUGGUCGUGAACAUUAAAGAGUUGAUUCCUGACAAAGAUGAAGCAAGAUUCGAUCCAGAUAUCUGGGGUUCGCAUAACAAUGCAGGAACAUCUUAUGCAACCCCUUCAGCAUCAUCUUCUUCUUCAAAAUCAACGAAUUUCUUCUUUGCACAAACUCGAAUCUCUACUCCUCGCAGGUUGAGAAGAGAGGCGUUGUUGUUGAAUACUUUGCACCCAAUUCACAGCGCGACUGCUGCUGCUUGCCUGGUUUCUAAACUUCCCACUGAAGUUAGCUCAUCCAAUGACGGUUAGUCUAAUCUCAUAUCCGGUUUUGUAAAUAAGAAGAAAUACUUGUUCAUAUGUAGUACAUCUUGAUCACAAAGACCUCAGUAAUCACAAACCGCCACUACCUUAGUGAAAUGGAGUUUAAACUAGAACAACCGUAGAACCAAUCUUACAUACUAAAGAGAUUAGAUUCAGUUACUCCAUAAAAACACAAGUAUGCUUUACUUUGUAAUGUACUGGGCCUGCAAGGUUCUUGAUGAAAUGUCUUCUUCAUACCAGUUAGUAGAGCAAGUCUUGAAAAAUAGGAUUGACACAUUGUCCCCACUUGCCAUGUAUAAGUCCAGGAGUUUUUCAUCUGGUGUGUUAACCACUUCAUUGAUGCAAUCAAGAAUUAUGUUAUCUUGUCAGAUCUUCUUUCCAAGCCAUCGUUGGUGAAGUUGAGAAUGUCUUGUAUAACUUAUCCCCAAAAGGUUUCUUCAAACCCAUCGUUGGCACCUUAUUCCUCAGUUUCUUUUUUCUUUCUUAUGGGAUCCAUUCAACCAUCAUAUCAAGUGUGUUUUGUAAAGAAACAUUAUCAUAUGAUAUGCCCACCCAAAAUGUUGGCAUACUGAUAAAAUAUGUUGUCCACCCAAUGACAUAUGCCCAUUACAUUAGUUGCAACGCAAAUUUGAGUGACAUAAUUGUUUGCCGGUCAAUGGGGCAUUUCUCUAAGUUUCACAUAUCCUUGACACCAUUUAAAAGGAAUUUACAGGUUCAUCAUGUUGUUGUUUUAAGUAAUGGCCUUCCAUGCUUAUUUAUUUCAAAUUGUACUUUUUUUUUUCUUUUGGGUUUGUUUGGUUUUAUUUACGUUUCAUUUGGAGUGGUAAGAGAUUGUAUUGUCUAUUCAGAAAUGUAUAAGCUCUUGUGUGCCAUCAACAAUUAGUGCUUUCUUUCUUGUUUACCUUAUGCAUAAGGUGCCAGAGUCAGGCUGCUGGCUGACUGAAUCCACUGCUGAAGGGAAGGAUUCUAUCUAAUCCUCAAAAUAUACCUAGUUGUGGCUGAAAAUUCGUCUCAUGUCGUCAUUUAUUUGCAUCACCAACUCAUUAAACUGACUCUUUUUUUUCUUUUUCAUUUUGUUAUGCCGGUUGGUGUAAGUGUACUAAUUUACUAAGGGGACCUACCACUACCACGAGGGUGAACAAGUAUAAAAUUUCGGAUGGAAAUAGAAGAAAAAAAGGAUUGGGGAAAUCAAACAUUUUCCUUUCAGGUAGAGGGGGUUUAGGCCCUUUAGGGUUAAAGCUUUCAUUUGCCGAGGUGAAAAGAACACAAAAAUUGCAGCAGCUUCAAUUUCUCGAACAUCCUUAUUAAUUCAAUCAAAAAGAUACAGUGUUUCUCAUUCCUUUUCACUUCCACCUCCAAUUUCAAACAUCGUCUUAUUAUCAAAAAAAAAAAAAAAAACAUCAUCUUCAAAACUUCUUGUCUCAACAAGCUUGGAUAUCUACUCUUCGAAGGUUGAGAAGAGAGACAUUGUUAUUGAAUACAUUGCGCCCAAGUCACAGUGCUGCUGAUUCUGCUUGUCCUGUGUCUGAGAUUCCUACUGAAGUUAGCACAUGACGUUCCUCAGCCUUCAGUCACUCCUGUCAACUGAAUAACUGUGUCGUGGUUUCAAGAUCCUCAGUUGUAUAUAUGUCGUGAAGCGCCGGGGUUAAAACUAUACAGGAUGAAGGAACCAAUUGGAACCCCUAUAGCGCUAUCAGGUAUAAUUGAUUAUGGAUUCUUAGACUAUUCUAAACAUCUCUCUUUACCAAAUAACAAAGAAAGCAAUUUUGAUGCUUUCUUAUCUUCUGUCAAGUUUGAUGGAGUAACUUUCAAGCUUAUAAAUUGUCAAGGCUGGGUAGUUCACCAGAUGGUCAGUAAUUACAAACACUUCACCUGGUCACGUGAACCACUGGCCUCACCAUUUUAUAGGCUGCCUGGUAUUAAUACUCCUGAAACGGUGCUAUUGACUCAGAAAGAAGAUCUUGACAGCGAAAAUCAAGCUCUGAAAAUAAUUAUUUCGGACCUAAAAGCAAGAAAUUCAAUUCUUGAAGAUGAUAAGAUCAAGCUAAUCAAUAACCUAAAUGGAGCCAAGGCUAUGAAUCUAGUAGAGAAACGACUUUUCGAUUUAGAAGCUACCGUUGCAACUCUCAGGGACGAAUUCAGAAGGAACUAUGAUUGUGAGAAAGCCGAAAAACAAGUUUUGAAGGAACAAGUUUCUGAAUUGACAUCAAAACUCAAAGAGUGUUGUGGAUCAGCAGAUAAAGAACCAUGGAAAAGUGGUAAUAGUCCUGUUCCUAAGAAUUGGGUUCCUUUCGAGGAUCUCGAUGUUCAAGAUUUUCCAAGGAAUACUUCUUUGAAAAUCAUCAAAACACCAGGUGCACUGAAAUUCGUUGAAGAUACUACAACAAAUGUUCGAGCAAGCCGUUUCUAUGGGGGAUUAUAUCCGAUAGUGGUUGUGAACGUUGAAGAGUUGAUUCCUGACAAGCAUGAUGCAAGAUUCGACCCAAAUAUAUGGGGUUCGUAUAGCGAUGCAGGAACAUCUUUUGCAGCCCGUAAGCUAUUUAAGUCGGAGAUGUAGAUACACACAUACAAGGCAUGUUAAUCUGUCUUUUGAUCAGCAGGUUGAAGCCACCACUUUGGUGUUCUAUCCUAUGGCCUUCCAUGUUUAUUUAUCUCGACUUGGAUUUGUGUUUGAUUUUGUUUAUGUUUCGUUUGGGGUGGUAAAAGAUUGUAAUAUAUAUAGAGACUUGUAUAAGCUUCUGUGUCUUUUCUUCCUCCGGCUGGUGUCAUUGUAGUACAGUGAUAAAAUUAUGAAGUGAUGAUAU